UACGAAGGGGGCUAGCGUUGCUCGGAAUCACUGGGCGUAAAGGGUGCGUAGGCGGGUCUUUAAGUCAGGGGUGAAAUCCUGGAGCUCAACUCCAGAACUGCCUUUGAUACUGAAGAUCUUGAGUCCGGGAGAGGUGAGUGGAACUGCGAGUGUAGAGGUGAAAUUCGUAGAUAUUCGCAAGAACACCAGUGGCGAAGGCGGCUGACUGGUCCGGUUCUGACGCUGAGGCGCGAAAGCGUGGGGAGCAAACAGG
rnacentral:rRNA from 1 species